rnacentral:rRNA from 1 species
AGAGUUUGAUCCUGGCUCAGAACGAACGCUGGCGGCAGGCCUAACACAUGCAAGUCGAACGGGCGUAGCAAUACGUUAGUGGCGCACGGGAGAGUAACGCGUGGGAACCUUCCCUUUGGUUCGGGAUAACACCGGGAAACUGGUGCUAAUACCGGAUAACUCCUACGGGAGAAAGAUUUAUCGCCGAAGGAUGGGCCCGCGUUGGAUUAGCUAGUUGGUGAGGUAAUGGCUCACCAAGGCUACGAUCCAUAGCUGGUCUGAGAGGAUGAUCAGCCUCACUGGGACUGAGACACGGCCCAGACUCCUACGGGAGGCAGCAGUGGGGAAUAUUGGACAAUGGGGGCAACCCUGAUCCAGCCAUGCCGCGUGAAUGAUGAAGGCCUUCGGGUUGUAAAGUUCUUUUGCAGGGGACGAUGAUGACGGUACCCUGAGAAUAAGCUCCGGCUAACUUCGUGCCAGCAGCCGCGGUAAUACGAAGGGAGCUAGCGUUGUUCGGAAUUACUGGGCGUAAAGGGCGCGUAGGCGGUUCGACAAGUUGGAUGUGAAAGCCCAGGGCUCAACCCUGGAAUUGCAUUCAAGACUGUCUUACUUGAAUUCGGUAGAGGUGAGUGGAAUUCCCAGUGUAGAGGUGAAAUUCGUAGAGAUUGGGAAGAACACCGGUGGCGAAGGCGGCUCACUGGACCGACAUUGACGCUGAGGCGCGAAAGCGUGGGGAGCAAACAGGAUUAGAUACCCUAGUAGUCC